AAAAAAUAAAUGUAAGGCCAGUAAGUACCUGUUAUAAUGAAAGUGAGGCCGUAUGGCCAUGUUGGGGUCACCAACAACCGACCUCGAUCUUCGGUGAAAGGUUUGACUACGAGCAAUGCUCAUUGAGCAUAUCCGUUAGGACCCAAAAGAUGGUGAACUAUGCCCGAGCAGGGUGAAGCCAGGGGAAACUCUGAUGGAGGCUCGUAGCGAUACUGACGUGCAAAUCAUUCAUCAGACUUGGGUAUAGGGGCGAAAGACUAAUCGAACCAUCUAGUAGCUGGUUCCCUCCGAAGUUUCACCAAUAACGUUCCAGACUCAGAAGUAUGAAAUCGUUUUUCCUCGAAAAGACCUACCUUUUGUGCGGACUGUCCACGUAUGCAGAUUUCGUCAAUUACGGAAACUGCACGCGUGAGCAUUG
rnacentral:ncRNA from 1 species